GCAGAAUUAUCCACGAGUUGUGCAGGCAGAGCCCCCGGAGCAAUGGCCAGUCCUUCCGGCAGCUCCGAAGACACUGGCAAGCCCCGAGGCAGGGAUGGCCGGCCCAGGAGGGAGGAGGACGACGUCCCUUCCGAGGGGAAGAGGCUGCGGCUGUUGCUGGAGGGGGGGAAGCGCACAGCCCGAGGACUGCGAGGACGGGGAGGACGCGCCGCGGCCGGGCAGGGAGGAGACCGGCACCCAGACAGGUGGCGACGGCAGAGGAGCGCAGUGGUUCACACCUGUAAUCCCAGCACUUUGGGAGGCCGAGGCUGGCAGAUCACCUAAGGUCAGGAGUUCGAGACCAGCCUGGCCAACAUGGCGAAACUGUAUCUACCAAAAAAAAAAAAACAGAAAUUAGCCAGGUGUUAUUGCACACACCUGUAAUCCCAGCUACUUGGGAGGCUGAGGCAGGAGAAUCGUUUGAACCUGGGAGACAGAGGUUGCAGUCAGCCGAGAUUGCACCACUGCACUUCAGCCAGCCUGGGUGACAGAGCGAGACUCUGUUUCAAAAAUAAAUAAAUAAAUAAAAUAGAAUUCUGAA
rnacentral:sRNA from 1 species